UGGUCCGUGUGAUCAGAACCUCCUUGGCAACACGGGUGAAUGGGGAGCGCCAGGCUGACCUGUCCACUGCUGUUUGCUGCCCUGUCGCUCAGAUUUCGGCUGUGUGGAGGUGAUGGCUGUGGGUGGGAUGUGAGCAGAGAAGGAAAAGGAAGGAGCAAUGAUUAAUAAAACCUGACUCGGCUGGAAGGGCAAGGAAAAAACAACAAUACAGGACAUUUCUGGAGAUCGUCCUAAUCCAGCACCUUGGAGCCAAAUGAAUCAGCAGCUUCUUAUUCUGCCAGCAGGAUUAGUCAAUGUUCAUCCAGGCUCCUGGGAAGUGAGGUGAGGCUCUGCAUAGCAAGGAGCAAGGUGGCCACAGGGUGUUGGUUGGUUCAUGGAGCCAAACAAAUCCCUCCUUGUAAUCCUGCAAACACUGCUGGG
rnacentral:lncRNA from 1 species